AAAUUGAAGAGUUUGAUCAUGGCUCAGAUUGAACGCUGGCGGCAGGCCUAACACAUGCAAGUCGAGCGGAAACGAGUUAACUGAACCUUCGGGGGACGUUAACGGCGUCGAGCGGCGGACGGGUGAGUAAUGCCUAGGAAAUUGCCCUGAUGUGGGGGAUAACCAUUGGAAACGAUGGCUAAUACCGCAUGAUGCCUACGGGCCAAAGAGGGGGACCUUCGGGCCUCUCGCGUCAGGAUAUGCCUAGGUGGGAUUAGCUAGUUGGUGAGGUAAGGGCUCACCAAGGCGACGAUCCCUAGCUGGUCUGAGAGGAUGAUCAGCCACACUGGAACUGAGACACGGUCCAGACUCCUACGGGAGGCAGCAGUGGGGAAUAUUGCACAAUGGGCGCAAGCCUGAUGCAGCCAUGCCGCGUGUGUGAAGAAGGCCUUCGGGUUGUAAAGCACUUUCAGUCGUGAGGAAGGUAGUGUAGUUAAUAGCUGCAUUAUUUGACGUUAGCGACAGAAGAAGCACCGGCUAACUCCGUGCCAGCAGCCGCGGUAAUACGGAGGGUGCGAGCGUUAAUCGGAAUUACUGGGCGUAAAGCGCAUGCAGGUGGUUUGUUAAGUCAGAUGUGAAAGCCCGGGGCUCAACCUCGGAAUAGCAUUUGAAACUGGCAGACUAGAGUACUGUAGAGGGGGUAGAAUUUCAGGUGUAGCGGUGAAAUGCGUAGAGAUCUGAAGGAAUACCGGUGGCGAAGGCGGCCCCCUGGACAGAUACUGACACUCAGAUGCGAAAGCGUGGGGAGCAAACAGGAUUAGAUACCCUGGUAGUCCACGCCGUAAACGAUGUCUACUUGGAGGUUGUGGCCUUGAGCCGUGGCUUUCGGAGCUAACGCGUUAAGUAGACCGCCUGGGGAGUACGGUCGCAAGAUUAAAACUCAAAUGAAUUGACGGGGGCCCGCACAAGCGGUGGAGCAUGUGGUUUAAUUCGAUGCAACGCGAAGAACCUUACCUACUCUUGACAUCCAGAGAACUUUCCAGAGAUGGAUUGGUGCCUUCGGGAACUCUGAGACAGGUGCUGCAUGGCUGUCGUCAGCUCGUGUUGUGAAAUGUUGGGUUAAGUCCCGCAACGAGCGCAACCCUUAUCCUUGUUUGCCAGCGAGUAAUGUCGGGAACUCCAGGGAGACUGCCGGUGAUAAACCGGAGGAAGGUGGGGACGACGUCAAGUCAUCAUGGCCCUUACGAGUAGGGCUACACACGUGCUACAAUGGCGCAUACAGAGGGCGGCCAACUUGCGAAAGUGAGCGAAUCCCAAAAAGUGCGUCGUAGUCCGGAUUGGAGUCUGCAACUCGACUCCAUGAAGUCGGAAUCGCUAGUAAUCGUGGAUCAGAAUGCCACGGUGAAUACGUUCCCGGGCCUUGUACACACCGCCCGUCACACCAUGGGAGUGGGCUGCAAAAGAAGUAGGUAGUUUAACCUUCGGGGGGACGCUUACCACUUUGUGGUUCAUGACUGGGGUGAAGUCGUAACAAGGUAGCGCUAGGGGAACCUGGCGCUGGAUCACCUCCUUA
rnacentral:rRNA from 1 species